AUGCAUAGUGGGUCGUUCAAUGGAGUCAAUAGACUUAAUUUGAAAUGUUCAAAUAUGGAACCAAAGCGUUUGAAAAAAUGUUGUUCUCAUCUGUUCAUGCACCAGAUUGGAAUGCAAAGUUUGUUUGCUCAAGGCCAGGAGAGAGAGACUACAACUGGCCAACGGUGCCAAGUUUGGGCCGCAGACAUGAAGGUGUCUGUCUGUAAUACCAAGGGCCUGAAGUCGAAAGUGUGGCAGAUGCUACCUUGCCACGGAUGAGGGUCCAGAUUCAGGUCACCCGUUACCUGAAAGGGGCCUCCGAUUGUGAAUGUAGGAUCUGGCGGCACACAGGAGAGAGGAAUCUGCUGUAGUGAGAGUCAAGUUUCGGACCACCUGUUUCAAAGCCAGCCUCUACCACAAUACUGUUCCAACAGUUGAACCCUGGGCUGACUUUUGCAACAUACCCCACCCACUCUUACCAUUUACUUUUUAAUAAUAUUCUGUACACGCUGAAAUUACUUUUUAGUGUACAGUAUCAUAGUAUAGUACCCUCAAACACAAAUGUCCCACUACACCUGAUUUCCCACUAAUGCUGAUUUAUAGGCCUAGCCCACUUCUAGGAUAAAGAACAAAACCGUUACUGUCAUUCACCAGUGUGAAAAACAUUUCUGGGGUUAAUUGAAAUUGACAACAAAAAAAUGUAUACAAAUAUACUUAAUCAAAAUGAAUUCAAGUAGUUUCAGUGAUUUGUUCAUUUAAUUUUACCCCAACAUUUUAGAAUUAAAUCCAAUUUAAUAUGUUGCUCAAAAUCUAUGUAUCUUUAUUAGGAUAACCAAAGCGAGACUAAAUGUAGUGAUUCCAUUUACUCAAUUGUAAUCAUAUUUCUAAAAAACGUAAUUUAAGUUCUUGCAACAACAUGCCAAGUGGCUCCAUUUUUCCAGGAUUGUGGGUAAUUCAAAAAUGUUUUACUUUAUGAUUAUUUACAUUUUAGUCAUUUAGCAGACACUGUUAUCCAGAGCAGCUUACAGUUAGUGCAUUUAUCUCAGGCACAGUAAGUACAUUUUCCUCAAUUAAGUAGUUAUCAGCAGUCAAGUGCGAGUGUUAAUUCGAUGAAAGGCUAGGGGUGGGGGUGGAGGGGUGCUGUGGGAUUAUUUAAAAUACUCUUUGAAGAGGUAGGGUCUCAGACGUUUUUCAGAAGAUGGGCAGGAACUCUGCUGUCCUAGCGUCAGGGUGAAGCUUGUUCCACCAUCCGUAGAGGUGGGAGGACCAAGAGACCAGAGGUGUCAGAACGGAGUGCUCGGGUUAGGGAGUAGGGUUUGAGCAUAGCCUGGAGGUUGGGAGGGACAGUUCCCCUUGCUGCUCUGUAGGCAAGCACCAUGGUCUUGUAGUGGUGCGAGCUUCGACUGGAAGCCAGUGGAGU
rnacentral:lncRNA from 1 species